rnacentral:rRNA from 1 species
UGGGGAAUUUUGGACAAUGGGCGAAAGCCUGAUCCAGCCAUGCCGCGUGCAGGAUGAAGGCCUUCGGGUUGUAAACUGCUUUUGUACGGAACGAAAAGACUCCUUCUAAUAAAGGGGGUCCAUGACGGUACCGUAAGAAUAAGCACCGGCUAACUACGUGCCAGCAGCCGCGGUAAUACGUAGGGUGCAAGCGUUAAUCGGAAUUACUGGGCGUAAAGCGUGCGCAGGCGGUUAUAUAAGACAGAUGUGA